GUGAGGAAUAUUGCGCAAUGGAGGCAACUCUGACGCAGCCAUGCCGCGUGCAGGAAGAAGGCGCUACGCGUUGUAAACUGCUUUUAACCGGGAAGAAACCCCAGGACGUGUCCUGGGUUGACGGUACCGGAGGAAUAAGCACCGGCUAACUUCGUGCCAGCAGCCGCGGUAAUACGAAGGGUGCAAGCGUUAUCCGGAUUCAUUGGGUUUAAAGGGUGCGUAGGCGGAGCGUUAAGUCAGUGGGGAAAUCCUGCAGCUUAACUGUAGACUUGCCAUUGAUACUGGCGCUCUUGAGUGCGCUUGAAGUGGGCGGAAUGUGCCGUGUAGCGGUGAAAUGCUUAGAUAUGGCACAGAACACCAAUUGCGAAGGCAGCUCACUAAGGCGAUACUGACGCUGAGGCACGAAAGCGUGGGGAUCGAACAGGAUUAGAUACCCUGGUAGUCC
rnacentral:rRNA from 1 species